UCUUAUCAAUUAAAAACGGAGAAAAAUGUCCAUUUUUUUUCCUAAAAAAUGAAAAAAAUUGUUAUUUAAUAUUUCACUAGUUAGUCGUUUGUGUGGUCAAUAAAUCAGCUCAAAGUGAGAAUUGAUCGUGAAAUAUUUCUCAGCUUGGUGGAAAGAUAAUUUCAGCGUUUCAUGUUCGUACAUUUGAACCGGGAAUGUCAAUCGGGAAACGCGUCGAGCGAAAAACGCUCGUGAUGGUGAAACGUCAUCGUAAAAACGAGAUCUCUUCGCCUGACUUUUUUUUUAGAAACUGAAAAUUGGAGAGGCAUGCAUCGGGCACUCUCGUCCGCAAGCGAUUCGGGCGAAGUCAAUCGUUCAGACGGUAGACGAGAGCAACGUGGAAGACAACGCCGCGAGAGGACGGAGCGAAAGGGAAGAAGCAACCGAACGGGAGAACCGAACGACAAGAAAGAGAGAAGGAUUGGAAUAGAAGGGGCGCAAAUUUCAACCCCGUCACUGGUUUUACGUCAUUCCCGCCAUUCGGCGGCUUCCAUUUCCAGUCUGGACUACCGGAGCUCGUAAUUCAAACACGACCCAGGAACGAACGUUGCUAUCGUCGUCGUCGUCGUCGUCGUCGUCGUCGUCGUCGUCGUCGUCGUCGACUUCCUCCCCUUCUAGCCGAUCCCCUUUCUGCUCGUAACUCACGCCAGGACUCCCCUUUGGCGUCUGACCUUCCGUCCCGCUCUCCGCCUUCUUCGACCGUGAGCCGAUAAAUUCGAUAUUUGUUUCAACUUUCGCCGCAUUUCACUGGUCUCUCUCUACGUCGGUUCUUCUCCUUCCUGUUCGGCCAGAGCAGGAACUUUUGUUCUAUACCCCCGUACCCUUCCUCGCCGUCCUCGUUACCCCACGAAGAAAAUUGUUUCUGCGCAGCCAGUAGUCAGGACACGCUACACACGGCUCGUGUCAGACACACGCGUUCAAUGAUAGACGCCUGCCAUUACUCAUUGCACAUAUGAACGUUAUGUACCUCCGAAAUUCGUGUGUAUUUUAUAUACCGAGCGCGGCACUCGACCAGUGUCGCCUGAUUCUUUCGUGUUUUGGAAAAUGUGAAACAAUCGCUUUUGCUAAAGUCGCGCCGUGUAAUGUCGUCGCAUCGGCGAGCAACUGCAGCGAUUUGUACGAUCGAUCUCUCGUUGAAUCCAUUAUUUUAUUUGCCUAAUAUCAUCCGUUGUAUUUAGAAUCCCUUUCUUUUUUUGUGAUAUUUUUUUAGAUAUAAAAUUUUAGAAAAAAUUUUUGGGCAAUUAUUUAAAUUUUAAAAAAUUUUAGAAAUGUUUUGUAACUGUCAAAGCGAUAAGUUGAGACUAACGUUACCGUAUGUUACGUGAGACUUUCAUUGUUAUAUAUAAUGUGCAUACGCUGUGUCACAUGAAAAAGGAAAAUUCAUCGCGAUGGUAAUUACAGUAAAAGCUUUGAAGAUUCGUGCACUCUUUGACGUCGCUUCUGUGACCGUAAAUGAAUAUUCCUGUCGAAAUAUAUAGACCAAAAUGAAUUUAAGCUCACAUAUUGUGCCGCGUUAACCUGUCUGUGUAUCGAUAAAGAAAUAUGUGGAACAAAGGGACUAGAAAGCUUGUUAUUUGAAAGUCAGAAAGGCAUUUUUUUUUUGCGAAACGUCAGUCUUUCUUUUUAUUAAUUUACACAAAAGCCAUAAAAAAGAAUACUAACGGAUUUUUAAAAUUUAGAAUUGACACACGAAAGUAUGAAAUUAAAAAUACAUUUAACAAUGAAUAUAUUCUACACAGUUUUACAAUUGCAAGUUUGAAUAAAUGGAUACGAAAUCUUUUUACUUUUAUGAUAAAUUAUAAUGCCUUGUGGUGACGUACACAUCUAAUUCAUUGGGAAUCUUUAAAGCCCGGGGACUCUCAUUUGGAUCUAUUUUACACGAACUAAUGGGACUCGUCCUGCCUUCCGACAAUCUGAAUGGCAGGUUUAGUCCUUGUUACACAAGCUCCUAAAUGUCAUCCAGCGUACAUGCGCUCUAAGACCGGGCCCUCUACCUUCUUCGAGUUGACGUUCCUGUCGAACGAUAAGUACCGCCAGAUGUUGCCAAUACCCUUGGAUCGUUCGGUGGAACAGCAAACAUAGUAGCUAACUGGUUCGAGUCGCGGCAAAGCAGCAGAGAACCAAGUUUGCAGGGUGGAGCCUAAUAAUAGUCGAGAGAUUUACUGUGUGUGCAAGCUGUAGCGAUCACUGGAAUCGCUGUACAAAGGUGAAGUUUACCUUUUGCUACGAGACACGAACUUGCGCCAGUGUCGAAUUUUCAAUAUAACGGUUUACAUUUUUCGAACGGAAAAAUUUAAUCCUGGCCGACACAUGGCGUAUACGGCACUCGAACGUGUUUCUUUUCGGAGUUCCGUCAAUUACGUACGUGUAAUCAUAUGAGUACGUUUCAAAAAACAAAUUACUCUCCAUACGCUUGCUGCAUCAAAUAAAUUCAUUGUCCGUUAAAGCGGUAUGAUUUUUAGCUUGAAAUAAGCUUUCAACUUCAGGAGAGAUACAGAGUCUGUUAACGAAAAUUACGUUUCUUCUAGUAAUUGAGGCUUCCGCGAACACGUAUCACGUGCACGCGCGCACGCCGUUGCGCGCCUCAUCGGCCAUGAAACAGGCCACGUAUCGGAGGAUGUGUUUGCACCGAAGCCGAUCAUGCGCCGUGUUGCAAUUCCUUCGGUCGUGAAACUAUCGCACGAUCGGAAAUAAUCUCUCUAUAUAACGUCGGCGCUUUAUGCAGGUAUGGGAGAAAUAGCCUUGAGCCGCUUUAGAGCGCGGCCGCCGCGCCGUUCGCCAUCCUACAUGGCGGAUAAUCGAAGGCUGCAAAGACUUUCCGAACUCAUGUCAGAAUUAUCACGCACGAAGUAUUCGGAAUAAAUAAUACGCGAUGCAAAAGGAGAACCACGGCAGGAGAAAGGCAAGUGCACGCGGCGCCUGUAUAUUUUAUAAAAGAAUAUUUACAGUGGUGUUUACUCGCGUCCUUGCGGGGGAUCUCUCGUCUCACGUCACCGUAAAUAAUGCAAAGUUAAUCGCGAAGAAGGUAACACACUUCCGAUAAUGCGCGACGUAAGAUUACGGCGAUCCCUUGUAACGAGACCCAGCGAGAGGGAAAUAAUAAAUUGUCCCCGGCGUGAUAUUUCUAUCCCGCUCGAGAUCCAUUCGUCGCCGGGCUACGGAUCCCGCGGAGCGAAUUGUCUUUUUAUUCCCGCGGCCAAAUCGGAAAAUGUAUAGCGUGUCUACGUAUUAUAGUGCCGACGUUCUGAUGUUGCACCUUCGCAAUCAGCAACUCUAUGCGCGAGAAAAUCGCAUCCCCGAGACCCAUCACCGAUCGAGAGACGUACCGUUGCCCAAUCUCCUACGAAAAGGUUUGGUUUUUCGAUUUUCUCCCCUCGUUCUACCCCCCCCCCCCUCGCCCUCCCGUCCCGUUCUCUCUGUCCCCGCGUCUCAUACCCCUCCUCGCCAUGCGAUUUUCUCCGUGCCUCGGUUCAUCUCCGAUCACAGGAGCUCAUUCGUCCGCAGCGUAAUGGGCGUUCCGUUGCUUUCUGGACGAGAGCAUGCUUGCAAGAAGACAGGGAAGAAAAGUUCGCCUCUCAUCUCGAUUCGAUCUUUCUCUCUCUCUCUCUCUCCCUCCCUCAUUUCGUCCAUUUUACUCUUCUUUUUUUCGAUUGGUUCAAGUUUUUGGACUUUGUUCCGUUUCGCUGUCCAUGCAAUCACCUUUGCCUGUGUUUCGGCCGAACGUGAUGCUCCUGCGUUGUCCCGGAGAUCUUUCAUGCCAUUCCGACCCGGCAAACUAAUCCAUGACUGAUCGCGUUUUUCGUUCCGACUUCUCGAAGAGAAUCGCGCCGAUAUAAAAUACAACGGCAUCGCAAGCUGUGUACCGGCGGUAACGUAACGCUUCGAGAGCCCAUAGCGAGCAGUCGUGAAAAAGUAAUUGCUAGCAAGAUUCAUCCUUCUUGGAAUUUAUCUGUGCUCGUUCCCGUUUUUCUUUCACAUUAAUUAGUCGAUCGAUCGAUAAGUAUCGGGGAAUCGUAAACGGCAUCGUUCAUUGGUCCGUCGCAAUUACCGCGUAAGCUUGGCUCCUUCCAUCCGCCUUGAAAUCCUUUUACUUGCUUCUGGUCUUCUCUUAAUGGAUGUGCCAUCCUUACCGCGGCGUGCACCGGUAGAGAACGAGGGCGAGACAGAAAGAAAGAGCGCGCGCUUCCUUUCGGUUCUUUAACCAUCCACCAUCUCGCCCAUUCGCCGUUUCCCUGUCUUUCUUAUUCUCUCGCGAUCGUACAAAGUCGCGGCGGCGGCGGCGGCGGGCGACUUAUUCCGGUCGAUCCGUCCUAUAUCCGUAUCCGCCCUAUCCGGUCGAUCGACUGAAUCAAGGAUCUAGUUAGUCGAGAGUCGCUAUGGCGGACGUUCUAUAAGAAAGAGGAGUACGCUCGUGUGUGUGCGUGUGUGCGCGUGCGUGUGAUGCCACGGCCGGAUAAAGCCGCCCGCUAUAUCGUUUGAUUCAAUAUCGCGGGUCCGGAGGAUUUAUAUCGGGCGCGGGGGAGGGUGGGGGAAUUGCGUUAGCAACAGCUGCCGGUUGCCUCCAUAUACCUACCUACCUACCUCUUAACGUGCACGAGAUCCCGUUACCCUGUAAGACGUGUUAAUAAAGCCACGACCCCGAGAGCGCAGCCGCCAGCGCGAGCGAAGCCCAUUCAGUAAUCUUAGAGCUUUCCCACCCGCCGUCCACCCCUCUUCUCCCCAUCUCCUCUUUCCCGCGCGUCCUCAACCCCCAACAAUCUCCCCCCCCCCCGCUCCUCCUAUCCGCUAACUCGCCGGAUACUUCGGAGGAUCAGCCGAGUGCCAAGUUUUCUUUUCGCGGAGAGAAAAGAGAUAAUAGUUAUGGUGCGUUAUACGUCAGCGGUUCUCUCGGAUCUUUCGUAUCUUUACUCGGAGCUCGCCUCCUCUCGCAUCUCACUCCCUUCGAUCGUCCCCUUUGAAAUUUUGAUCGCGUUCUGCUCGUCGACGAACGCGCUGAACGCCCAUUUGCUCAUCGAAUCGAUAUCGCGUUUGAAACUUGGGAACCACGUUUUGGAUAAUCUCGCGUGAGCUCAUUUCCACCGAGAGAGGAGAUCUCAUUCGUUUACUUUACCUAUAUCAAGUUUUUUACACCGCUCGAGAACUGACCCAAAUAGCAUGGUCGAAUAGGAUCGAAUAGGCUCGGAUUAGUAUUAUUGGUCUAGCAAAUAGGCUAGUGACGGCUAUAAACGAAUAUGGAUUGAGCGGGGAUUUUUUGAUCGGCCGUUCUUCAUCUACAUACGACGCGUCGGUGAUGGAUCGAUCUAAUUUUAUGCGAUAUUCUAUCUCGCGACUCUUUUGUCAAGCGUCUUAUCGGUAAGGGGCUUUCGCUCCGAUUUUCACAGAUGUGGACUUAAGGCGUUUGUACGAAGGGCGUCUCGCGAUUUCUGGACAGCCGCAAUAGGAAUGGGGUUUGUGUAAGCUUAGCGAUCGUAACUCAGACGAGCGCGACUUUGGUAAUAGCCCGAUCGUCCUUGACCAAACAGAUCUUCCUCGAAGUCUCAGCAAACUCCUCCUAAUCUCGAAGGAACGAUGGUCGAAUGGAUUCUCUCCUCUCUCUCUCUCUCUCUCUCUCUCUCUCUCCCUUUUGAGUGCGGGUUAUCAAGCAAGCUGCUUGGGGACGUAUUCAAUAUUAGCCAGGGGGAUGUAAUAUAACCGUAUAAACUUCGAUAUUCUCUUUCUCCUGACAAGAAACGCGAAUAUUACUUCGAAAACAAAGAGGAAUUUUCAACUUUACCGUAUUCCAAAUGCAAGCUCUCCGCGAAAAGUUAAUCCUUAAUCAUAAACUAAUCCGCAGGAAAAUUUUUCUUGGCGGAACUUACAUUACAAUGAGAUUUAUUCGCCUUGAAAUAUGGUAAAUUGAUUGAUUGAUUCCAAUUAGAGUGGGAAUUAGAGGGGAUGUAGCACAAGUAGCUAUUCGGUGAACAGGCGUUCGCCGUUUUGUUUUAAUGAACUUUUGGCGUAAAACUACGACGUUGUAAAUCCUUAUUCGACUUACGCGCGCUCUAACUUAUCGCAAUUGUUUAAUUUUUUCAUGGUUAAUUAAUUGGCAAUUAAAAGUCGUUUAAAAUUUUUCCAGGGCAAGUCAAGUGCAAACUACAUCAGUAAAAUGUAUUUUAUCAGCGAACGACUCUUUUGCUGAUAUUUCAUACAAUCGAAUGGAUUAUAUAAUUUUUACUUUUAAUGAAUUGCACUCAAUCUCGUUUAGCGACAUAGCGCGUAAUAUUGUUUGGAACCCAUGAUCGAGUACCUCGCCGCGUUUACUUGUUAGAUGCUAGAAUUGUUUUAUAUUGGCCGUAACAAAACAAGAUUAUGCCCCGAGUUCUUCGUUUUUACUUCCGUUUUUCCAGUCGGCGAACGGGAGUUUCGAGUUAACAUCGAUUCCCCUGGAAUCGUUCCGCCAUGUUCUCGAUCCGACAACGCGGAUACACGAGGAGAAAAAAAUUGAAUUUACGGAUAUUGCAUCGGGGGAAAAGAGGGCGAAGGAAGUAAACGUAAGCGGAUGGCUCAUAAUCGCAUAGAUGGGACUUUAUUCUUGGUCCUACUGCAUUUACCGUGGCCGUAAACAAGACCGAGAACAAUGCGGACGCGCGGUCAAGUACCGGCGAUGGAAAAUUUUUAUAAUCUACUGAAUAUAGCCUGACAAAAUCCUCCCCCGACUGGGCGCAAGCAUUUUCCGAUAUCGCGUAAUUAUUUCCGUCACGCGGGACCGCCGGGAGUUUUCGGUCGAAGCAGUUUUCAUACAAAAUUUUUAUCGCGCAUCGGCGAUUAAUCUUCGCAGGGGCGUUGCGCCAAAGGAUGGAAAAACGAGGUGGUAUACCGAUAAGAUACGGCCAGAGAGAGAGAGAGAGAGAGAGAGAGAGAGAGAGAGAGAGAGAGAGAGAGAGAGAGAGAGAGAGAAGAAGGUGUAAGGAACCUGAACGCGGGACAGAGUUUAUCCCAAUAGUAAUAUUUCUAUUCCUUCAGUGUCCCGUUCGAGCACAGGAUUUCACUCUCUCCUUUUAUUCCGGUUAUUUCGUAUCUCGUCCUCUCAUCCUUGUCUCUGCUUUCAGCCUGAGAUAGGACUGACAUAAUUUUCCAAGAUAGUACCCGGGUCCCGUUCUCUCUGCUUUCUCCCUCCAUAACCCGCCACCUCCGGGUUUCCUUUCCUUCCGCCUUCGAGCUCGCAAGGCCGGCACCGAGCUCCCUCUUUUUAUAUCCCACCUUCUUCCUUCCUUCCUUCCUUCCAUCCUUUUUCUUUCCUUUUCUCCGAGCUGAAAGCAAAGGGAUCGCGUAAGUCAGCCGAUUCGAGGAUCCACGCCUGUGCUGGCUGCCUUUUACUUUUUCUCCGCUUUCCUUCUAUUCUCUGUCGUCUUUCUCAAGUCGAGAGUUCAUGUACAUCUUUUCGAGUCAAUUACGCCUUUUUGCCGGCUGUCUCUUGUCCGUAAGUUGGAGAAUGUCAAAGGCGCCCGCUUUUCCUAAUGAUCGCAUUACGUCGUAUUACUACAGACCCGUUGAACAGAAUCAUGUAUUUCGGAUGAUUACGAAAGGAUUACCGGAAUAUUUGGCCACUCUAAUGUUGGAUAAUCUAUUCGCUCGACGGAGUCGAAUGGAGGAGAAUCGGCUCCCGACGUGAGUUCAAAUUGUCAUCAUCACAUCGAACGAUUCAUUGUUACGAUGUCGCAGCAUGUACCCACUGUUGCUUGAUUAAGUUCCCCACAUCUACCGAAGACCACGCAAUUAAGGCUGUCCGCAACCACUGUGCAUUGGUCGAUCAAGCUUGCCCGCAUCUGUUACACAUCGGUUUAGAACCAUCCGUGUCUAUGUACUUUGUUACUUUGUCGCGUAUUAUUUCAUUGACGUAACUGUUACUAUCGCGGGUAGUCAUAUUGUUUGUUAUCGUUAACUUUUAUCACAAUCGCUCUUCCUUAUAUUUGUAAAUGAAUGUCAACAAGCUGGUUAUUAGCCUUGUUUUCUAAGCGUAUACUCUAUAAUAAUUAUGUUAAUUAAAUAGAUGGUUAUAAUUAAUAAAAUUUUGCAAGAGAGGAAUUUUCUACGUGAGUGCUUGAAUGGAAAAUGCAAUGGAUGAAGAGGAGAAUGUAAUAUAUUAACGUUAUACCACGAAAGCGAAAUUUUUGGUUUUAUUCUUAAUGCAUGUGCUGUAAUGAAAUCCCAUUUUGAAAAAGAGGUCUUAUUAUUGCUGUUUUUCUUCUCAUGAGGUUGCGAUAAAACGUAAGUGUCGGAAGCGGACAAAUAAUCGUUCACUCUUGACGACGAGUCAGUUGACCUGUCGUUUUGCUGAGAGAUACAAACUAAAGUAGUAAAGAAACGUUCCGUUCGCCACAUUAAACCAAUAGCCAUCCACCGGUGCGACAAUCGGUAAUAAAAUUCACAUAGGUACCGAAGUUUCGACGAUCGUCGAGCAUAACGGUUCACCCACAUCGUCACGUCGACGAUGCGGCUGUGCGAAGCAGUGCUUCCUCCGUCUUCGCGUUGUGGAAUAGUAGAGCCUUUAGCUCUUUUCGGGGUGGCGUACGACUUGACUUUUAUCGGAAAGUGAUAUCGCCGCAGCAGUGGGUACUGCACUUUGAGAGAAAGAGUAAGUCAGAAAGCUCGUUGAAAGAGGAAAAGAAGGAGGUUGAGGACGAGAGCACAAAGACAAGGAGAAAAGAAAGAAGAAGAAGAAAAGAAGAAGCAGAAGAGGAGGAGGAGGAGACAACUGCCGAAGUUGAGGCGGAAAAGUUCGAGGAAUACGCUCCGAUCGUGACCAACUCUACGAACCUUUUAAAAUCAAGAUUCCGCGCCCGGGCAGGGGGGGGGGGUAGAAUCAGGUGCCUCCUGCUAGCGGAAUACUUGUCCUUGAGUCCAUGAGGAUUUUCGGGACUUCUUCCCUCUUUUUCGUAUUCUCUCGUAUAUUCGAGCAUUCGCCUCGUUUCACGGAGACCAAGUAUGUCGCGAUUGUGCCAUGCCGGCCACUGAAUUCAGCGACACGGAAAAGCCAUUCUUCCAUGAAAGGGCUCCAAGUCGUUCACGUGGCCCUAUGGAUGGCCGCUGUAAUCCACCGUGUACCCGCAUCGACGUUCGACGUCAUGCACGACCCUCGGACAUCUGUACUUACGAGUCCCUGCUCUUGCGUCUCGCCGUCCCGACUUGGAAGACUCGCUUUAACCAAGGGGAACAAAACUCGCGAUGAAUGGGAUUACUGAUAGCCACUCGACGUCUUACAACACCCAGUGUUUACGAUCCCCGCCAGUCUGAUACAAAUCGAAACGUAAUUGUUCCCCGAUUGCAAACAGACUACUUGUUGAAUAUAUACAUUUCAUUCGAGACGAAAAAUGAAUAAUAAUGGAGCGACUACUAGAUUGAUAAUGUGUUGUGUAUGGAAACGACAUAGUAAAACGAUAGCAUUAUUAUUAUCGAUGCUCUGAGCAAAUCCUUCAAUUGUGAAUAUAAGGGAAAUCACGAGAUUUGAAUUGGAGGAAGACAAUUAUAAAUAAAUAUACCAUUGUGGAUUUGAUGUUACUGCACAUAAAGUUUUAUAUAAAAUUGAAAGGAAAACACAUGUUUGCUAGUAAUCUCAGGGGCAUAAAUUAAAUUCCGAGAAAUAUGUACAUCCACUAGGUAAAAAAUUCUAUAUUUACGAAAAUCAAACGAACCAACAUUUGGAAAUUUCGUUUCCUUUAUUCAAUAAAGAUGCUUAAUUGGAAUACGCGAUUUCCAUUCGGUUUUCCUGCCUGCCAGUCGAGAGCUUUUUUAUAUUACUGGCGAUUAGUUGUACGUUUAUCCUGUCUCCCGUUUGUAGUUUGCGAUCGAUACACUUGUCGUAAGUAUGCACAUCGAACUCGCAUGGCCGACAAAGAAGACUGUUGUGAGCCUCGGUGAAGCAAUAAACCUUCUUUGCUCCGUGCCAACGUAACACGAGCCACUAUCCGUUAUUACGAAAUACUUUACAUACUCUCUCGAUGUUUUUAUUAACAUACCACCGAAGCGGGCAAGAAACACUGCAGCAUACGUUUCACGCAUGUGCGACCCAACGUUGCCGAUGAAUUACGAGUGGGGAUGCAAAUGCAUUCGUCCUUCGCCUUCGCCAGCAAUUUCGAAGCACUCUUCGGUCGGUCUCCGUGGAGUUUUAUCCGCCGUUUUAUUGCGCACGUCCUAGGAGCGUUUCAUACUAAUCCGCUUACGGGCACGAAUUUCGGAGCAUAUGAUUCCGAAGCGACUCCGCAUGCCGUAUGAGCGCAUCCGUUCAAUCUCCCGUAGAGCUUCCGUCGGUUGAUGCUCGAUCGAGUGCUCCUCAUAUGCGGUGCUCGGGGACACGCAACGAUAGAUACCGGGAGGUAUUCCACGAAUUUCUCGUUUUACGUUCCGCUAUAAUCUCAAAGAGAGUAUCUCCGGGCGAGGUCUUCCCCGAGAGCCGGGCCAAGCCACCGUGAAAAGCGGUAUAUCGAGAGACAAAACAAAGUUCAUUCGGACGAAGGAAGGUGGAGCAGCGGGGCCAACGGAUACUUGUCUCAAACAAGAUCGUACGCGAGCAAGCGUCGAGGAGAUGAAAACGGAGAGUCCUCUUCUUGCACCACUGCAAACCCACGUGAGCGCACGAGCUGAGCAACGGACCACGGGUAUUUACAUAAGAGUGGCUGCCACGAUGCUUUAUCCGGGGGAACCUGUUACCUGCGUAGGAAAGGAGCGGCAUGAAAGAGAACUCCUGACAAGAUCCGUUAGGCCUUAUACAAAAUGUACAAUCUCACCGUGCUCCGUUACCCCCCCCGAAGAAAAAAGGGGAAAAAAAAUUGACGACGGCAUUGAAUCACGUUGCCGAGGAUAUUAUUAUAAAGUAAAGCGCGAAACAUCCUUUUUUUAAUACGUACGGCGCGCGGCGUGACAUUGUAAUAUCAAUUUGCAAGUAACGUAUUAUGUAUUUAUUAUGUUGCUAAUACGCUGGGCGUUUAUAUUCCGUCUCUAUGUGAUUGAUGGAUUCGGUAGAGUGAUGUUGUGCGACGACACCGAGUAAAUAAUAUAUGAGUGUCUUUACAUUGAUUUAAAGCGGAAAUAGAAUUGCGCGGGGACAAUAACUUUGCCGAUACAAUAUUUGUGCGUUGCUGUUGCCAAGAAAGAGAAACGGAAAGAAAAGGCGCAAGCGAUAUUCGGAACGGCAAAAGCACAGACGUGCAAACGGACACGCACAUAUGCACAGUUUUACCAAUACCAGAUUCCGAACAUUUGCAUAAGCUCAGAUCUUAGCAGUGCCGCGUCCGGAUGUGCUUACCAGUAGGAAAGAGAGAAAGGAAAGUGGACGGGGGAGGGUGGCGCGAAGACGGGAGCUAAGAAAGAGGAUACGGGACGGCGCGGAGGGUUCGCGGAAAGAUCCGCCAAGUCGUAUACAAAAUUCAUAAUCUCACGGCGUUAUAAUGUUUGCCGGGAUAGCGCGGAGGUGUAGAGAGUUCUGGUAUGCAUAAAGUGCGGUGAUGGCGUGGUAUACGAGAUCCUGGAAGAAGAGCGAAGACGGUGUACGAACCGUGGCGAGGAACGCCGGUAGGGGUCGGAGGGAAAUAUUAUGACUCGAAGCAGCAGGAGACUGUAAUGGAUCGCCGUGAGCGGGCACACGGGCCACGGGCUGCAUUCCCACUUUAUAAAUCACCACCUGUACUUAGGUACUGAAAAAUCGGUUCCAGGGGAAAAUGACGGCGGGUACUUAAAGGGAGGGAGAGAGAAAGAGAGAGGUGGGUAGGCGGUGAUGUGCAGGCGCAACGGGCCCUGAUUUUUUCGCAGGCUCAUCCCUUUUCCAGUGGAAUAACCUGAAAUAAUAACGUAUGGGGGUUAAAAAUCUACGAUCACACAUCGGAGCUGCAAAAAGUAAAUUUUUUUGUUUGGAGUUUAUAUGCGAUUGUGCGAAAUCGUAGAUCCUCCUCCGCAGAAGUGAAAGGAUUUGAUGUUUAUCUUAAUAAAAUGUAUUGAAGGGGAAUAUUUAAUAUAUUAUUUUACUUUGUUCUACUUAUUUUUCUCUCUCCUCUUCUCUCUCUCUCUCUCUCUCUCUCUCUCUCUCUCUCUCUCUCUCUCUCUGUCUUUGAGUAUUUUCCUGCUUCAUUGAGCAACUCUGCAUCUAAGAAAAUAAAAUUUAACAUAUAUUUGUACUGUCGUGAUUAUAAUAUAAAUUGUAUGUAAUCGAG